UACGUAGGGGGCAAGCGUUGUCCGGAUUUACUGGGCGUAAAGAGCGCGUAGGCGGUCGUUUAAGUGUGGCCUGAAAGCCCCCGGCUCAACCGGGGAUCCGGGUUGCAAACUGGACGUCUUGAGGGGGAUAGGGGAAGGUGGAAUUCCUGGUGUAGCGGUGAAAUGCGUAGAUAUCGGGAGGAACACCAGUGGCGAAGGCGGCUUUCUGGGCCUUACCUGACGCUGAGACGCGAAAGCGUGGGGAGCGAACCGG
rnacentral:rRNA from 1 species